UACGAAGGGGGCUAGCGUUGCUCGGAAUCACUGGGCGUAAAGGGCGCGUAGGCGGCCACUGCAAGUCGGUUGUGAAAUCUCCGGGCUUAACCCGGAAAGGUCAAUCGAUACUGCAGGGCUAGAGUGCGGAAGGGGCAACUGGAAUUCUCGGUGUAGCGGUGAAAUGCGUAGAUAUCGAGAGGAACACCUGCGGCGAAGGCGGGUUGCUGGGCCGACACUGACGCUGAAGUGCGAAAGCUAGGGGAGCGAACGGG
rnacentral:rRNA from 1 species